rnacentral:rRNA from 1 species
AUGCGGAGGAUGCAAGCGUUAUCCGGAUUUAUUGGGUUUAAAGGGUGCGUAGGCGGUUUGCUAAGCGGGAGGUGAAAUGCCGGCGCUCAACGUCGGAAGUGCCUCCCGAACUGGUGGACUUGAAUGACUCUGCCGUGGGAGGAAUGUGUAGUGUAGCGGUGAAAUGCUUAGAGAUUACACAGAACACCGAUUGCGAAGGCAUCUCACGAAGGGUUGAUUGACGCUGAGGCACGAAAGCGUGGGGAUCAAACAGGAUUAGAUACCCUGGUAGUCCACGCAGUAAACGAUGAUGGCUAACCGCUGGGCUUAUCAGUUCAGUGGCCAAGCGAAAGCGAUAAGCCAUCCACCUGGGGAGUACGACCGCAAGGUUGAAACUCAAAGGAAUUGACGGGG